UACGGAGGGGGCUAGCGUUGUUCGGAAUUACUGGGCGUAAAGCGCGCGCAGGCGGUCUUCCAAGUCAGUGGUGAAAGCCCGGAGCUCAACUCCGGAACUGCCAUUGAAACUGUUAGACUUGAGGAUGAGAGAGGUGAGUGGAAUUCCCAGUGUAGAGGUGAAAUUCGUAGAUAUUGGGAAGAACACCGGUGGCGAAGGCGGCUCACUGGCCCGAUACUGACGCUGAGGCACGAAAGCGUGGGGAGCAAACAGG
rnacentral:rRNA from 1 species